rnacentral:rRNA from 1 species
GACGAACGCUGGCGGCGUGCUUAACACAUGCAAGUCGAACGAGAGGAGAAGGAAGCUUGCUUCUUUCGAAUCUAGUGGCAAACGGGUGAGUAACACGUAAACAACCUGCCUUCAGGAUGGGGACAACAGACGGAAACGACUGCUAAUACCGAAUACGUUCCUUAGGUCGCAUGACUUUAGGAAGAAAGGGUGGCCUCUACUUGUAAGCUAUCGCCUGAAGAGGGGUUUGCGUCUGAUUAGGUAGUUGGUGAGGUAACGGCCCACCAAGCCGACGAUCAGUAGCCGGUCUGAGAGGAUGAACGGCCACACUGGAACUGAGACACGGUCCAGACUCCUACGGGAGGCAGCAGUGGGGAAUCUUCCGCAAUGGGCGAAAGCCCUUGACGGAGCAACGCCGCGUGAGUGAUGACGGCCUGGUGUAAG